rnacentral:rRNA from 1 species
GGGUUGUGAGGUUAAGCGACUAAGCGUACACGGUGGAUGCCCUGGCAGUCAGAGGCGAUGAAGGACGUGCUAAUCUGCGAAAAGCGCCGGCGAGGUGAUAUGAACCUUUGACCCGGCGAUGUCCGAAUGGGGAAACCCAGUGCAAUUCGUUGCACUAUCGUUAACUGAAUACAUAGGUUAACGAGGCGAACCGGGGGAACUGAAACAUCUAAGUACCCCGAGGAAAAGAAAUCAACCGAGAUUCCCCCAGUAGCGGCGAGCGAACGGGGAGCAGCCCGGAGUCUGAAUCAGCUUGUGUGUUAGUGGAACGGUCUGGAAAGUCCGACGGUACAGGGUGAUAGUCCCGUACACGAAAGCACACUUGCUGUGAACUCGAAGAGUAGGGCGGGACACGUGGUAUCCUGUCUGAAUAUGGGGGGACCAUCCUCCAAGGCUAAAUACUCCUGACUGACCGAUAGUGAACCAGUACCGUGAGGGAAAGGCGAAAAGAACCCCGGCGAGGGGAGUGAAAAAGAACCUGAAACCGUGUACGUACAAGCAGUGGGAGCCUCUUUAUGGGGUGACUGCGUACCUUUUGUAUAAUGGGUCAGCGACUUAUAUUCUGUAGCAAGGUUAACCGUAUAGGGGAGCCGAAGGGAAACCGAGUCUUAACUGGGCGUUAAGUUGCAGGGUAUAGACCCGAAACCCGGUGAUCUAGCCAUGGGCAGGUUGAAGGUUGGGUAACACUAACUGGAGGACCGAACCGACUAAUGUUGAAAAAUUAGCGGAUGACCUGUGGCUGGGGGUGAAAGGCCAAUCAAACCGGGAGAUAGCUGGUUCUCCCCGAAAGCUAUUUAGGUAGCGCCUCGUGAACUCAUCUUCGGGGGUAGAGCACUGUUUCGGCUAGGGGGCCAUCCCGGCUUACCAACCCGAUGCAAACUACGAAUACCGAAGAAUGUUAUCACGGGAGACACACGGCGGGUGCUAACGUCCGUCGUGAAGAGGGAAACAACCCAGACCGCCAGCUAAGGUCCCAAAGUCAUGGUUAAGUGGGAAACGAUGUGGGAAGGCACAGACAGCCAGGAUGUUGGCUUAGAAGCAGCCAUCAUUUAAAGAAAGCGUAAUAGCUCACUGGUCGAGUCGGCCUGCGCGGAAGAUGUAACGGGGCUAAACCAUGCACCGAAGCUGCGGCAGCGACGCUUAGGCGUUGUUGGGUAGGGGAGCGUUCUGUAAGCCGUUGAAGGUGUCCUGUGAGGGGUGCUGGAGGUAUCAGAAGUGCGAAUGCUGACAUAAGUAACGAUAAAGCGGGUGAAAAGCCCGCUCGCCGGAAGACCAAGGGUUCCUGUCCAACGUUAAUCGGGGCAGGGUGAGUCGACCCCUAAGGCGAGGCCGAAAGGCGUAGUCGAUGGGAAACAGGUUAAUAUUCCUGUACUUGGUGUUACUGCGAAGGGGGGACGGAGAAGGCUAUGUCAGCCGGGCGACGGUUGUCCCGGUUUAAGCAUGUAGGCGGAGGUUCCAGGUAAAUCCGGUACCUUGUUAACGCUGAGGUGUGAUGACGAGGCACUACGGUGCUGAAGUGAUAAAUGCCCUGCUUCCAGGAAAAGCCUCUAAGCAUCAGGUAACACGAAAUCGUACCCCAAACCGACACAGGUGGUCAGGUAGAGAAUACCAAGGCGCUUGAGAGAACUCGGGUGAAGGAACUAGGCAAAAUGGUGCCGUAACUUCGGGAGAAGGCACGCUGAU